rnacentral:rRNA from 1 species
AGCAGCCGCGGUAAUUCCAGCUCCAAUAGCGUAUAUUAAAGUUGUUGCAGUUAAAAGCUCGUAGUUGAAUUUCGGGACCAAUCUGCCGGUCGUGCCUCCGGUACGCACUGGUUUUAUUGGUUUCUCCCUUCUGACGAACUAUGAUGUCAUUAAUUUGGUGUCAUGGGGAAUCAGGACUGUUACUUUGAAAAAAUUAGAGUGUUUAUAGCAGGCUCACGCUUGAAUACAUUAGCAUGGAAUAAUGAAAUAGGACGUUUGACCCUAUUUUGUUGGUUUCUAGGAUCGACGUAAUGAUUAAUAGGGGUAGUUGGGGGCAUUAGUAUUCAAUUGUCAGAGGUGAAAUUCUUGGAUUUAUUGAAGACUAACUACUGCGAAAGCAUUUGCCAAGGAUGUUUUCAUUAAUCAAGAACGAAAGUUAGGGGAUCGAAGACGAUCAGAUACCGUCGUAGUCUUAACCAUAAACUAUGCCGACUAGGGAUCGGAUGAUGUUAAUUUUUUUAAUGACUCAUUCGGCGCCUUA